ACCAUGAACCUGGAAUGACAACACACCCGACUUCACAAAGGAGCCAGGACGUGGGACGAACAAAGUGACAGCAGCAUUUUCCCAAUUCAAGAUGGGAAAGCAUAAAUCUCAGCACCUUCUGUUCAGAUCCCUUUGGGUUCCCUAACCUCGGCUUUGGUCUCUGGUGGUGAACCCCGACCCAGCUUUCCGACAGACAUUUCUCCUGCCUCCCAGCUCACCUCCAUCCCCAGCGCCCUGGCGUGGCUUGCACAGACUCACCACCAUGCGUCUGCAGCCCGCCUCUGGACAAGCCUGCCAGCCCACCAGCUAUCAGCGGGAUGGCCCACUGGUUCUUGCCCGGGAUGAAGGGCACAUCUCUCCCUGACCCCCCCCUUCCUCCCGUGUGCAACCCACAUGCUGUAAUAAUGCCCCUUGUGAGUCAUAACUAGGUCACGACCCUCCUCAGGCCAUAUGUCACCUCCUCACUUCUUUCAGAUCCCUGGUGCUCUGUAUGUAAGAGAGUUCAAUAUACACCACCAAAUGGUAAUUAUUUGUUAGACCUGUCAUUUUCCAGUGGUUUGGAGAAUGUUUUCCUAGCUCAGUGGAUUCCCUCUUUCCUUAAUCAAUAAACGUUUCAUGACCA